rnacentral:rRNA from 1 species
CGGGUUGUCAAGUACUUCUCUGCGGGGAGGAAGGUGUUGUGGUUAAUAACCACUGCAAUUGACGUUACCCGCAUAAGAAGCACCGGCUAACUCCGUGCCAUCAGCCGCGGUAAUACGGAGGGUGCAAGCGUUAAUCGGAAUUACUGGGCGUAAAGCGCACGCAGGCGGUCUGUUAAGUCAGAUGUGAAAUCCCCGGGCUCAACCUGGGAACUGCAUUUGAAACUGGCCGGCUUGAGUCUCGUAGAG